rnacentral:rRNA from 1 species
AUUGAACGCUGGCGGCAUGCCUUACACAUGCAAGUCGAACGGUAACAGGCCGCAAGGUGCUGACGAGUGGCGAACGGGGGAGUAAUGCAUCGGAACGUGCCCAUUCGUGGGGGAUAACGCCGCGAAGGCUGGGCAAAUACCCCAUACGACCACUGGAUGAAAGCGGGGGACCGUGAGGCCUCGCGCGACUGGGGCGGCGAUGUCAGAUUAGGUAGUUGGUGGGGUAAAGGCUUACCAAGCCGACGAUCUGUAGCUGGUCUGAGAGGAUGACCAGCCACACUGGGACUGGGACACGGCCCAGACUCCUACGGGAGGCAGCAGUGGGGAAUUUUGGACAAUGGGCGCAAGCCUGAUGCAGCAAUGCCGCGUGCAGGAAGAAGGCCUUCGGGUUGUAAACUGCUUUUGUUCGGAACGAAACGGUCUGGGUUAAUACCCUGGGCUAAUGACGGUACCGUAAGAAUAAGCACCGGCUAACUACGUGCCAGCCGCCGCAGUAAUAC